rnacentral:rRNA from 1 species
AAUGAACGCUGGCGGCAGGCCUCAAACAUGCAAGUCGAACGCCCUAGCAAUAGGGAGUGGCGCACGGGUGAGUAACAUGCGGGAAUAUGCCUUUUGGUACGGAACAACGUUUGGAAACGAACGCUAAUACCGUAUGGUCCCUCCGGGGUAAAGAUUUAUCGCCAAAAGAUUAGCCCGCACUAGAUUAGCUAGUUGGUAAGGUAAUGGCUUACCAAGGCGACGAUCUAUAGCUGUUCUGAGAGGAAGAUCAGCCACACUGAGACUGAGACACGGCCCAGACUCCUACGGGAGGAAGCAGUGAGGAAUAUUGGACAAUGGGCGCAAGCCUGAUCCAGCCAUGCCGCGGGAGUGAUGAAGGCCUUCGGGUUGUAAAGCUCUUUAGCCGACGAAUAUAAUGACUGUAGUCGGAGAAUAAGCCCCGGCUAACUUCGUGCCAGCCGCCGCCGUAACAC